GGAAGUAAAAGCGUAACAAGAUUUCCGUAGGUGAACUUGCGGAAGGAUCAUUAUUGUAUAACCGAGGUGCGAGGGCUGUCGCUGACCCGAAAGGUCGUGCACGCCCGAGUGCCCUCACACACAUCCAUCUCACCCCUAUGUGCACCACCGCGUGGGUCCCCCUUUGGCUUGUUCGGAGGGGGGCUUACGUUUUCACACAAACUUAGUAUGCAGUGUAGAAUGUAUUUUUUGUUUUUGCGAUCACGCAAUCAAUACAACUUUCAACAACGGAUCUCUUGGCUCUC
rnacentral:misc_RNA from 1 species